rnacentral:snRNA from 1 species
GUGCUCGCUUUGGCAGUGCAUAUGCUAAAAUUGGAACAAUACAGAGAAGAUUGGUAUGGCCCCUGUGCAAGGAUGAUGCGCAAAUUCGUGAAGUGUUCCGUGUUUUU